AUGGUGGUUGGAUGAAGUACUUUGUUGAUUUAUUGUGAGACUUUAAUUUUGUUCUGGGGAUUAUUGUGCUGUUAUGGAAUUCAUGUAACUAGGUCCAGUUGUAAGCUUUGGAUCCACUAUUUAUGGGUUCAACAGAUGUAGCAUGGGUUGCGUUAUGUGCUUCUGUGUUGGUCCAUCUACAGUGUUGGUCCAUGGAUGUGAGUUGUGAUUUGGUGGUCCAUUUUAAUAUUGCAAGUGGUUCAUUUUGAGUCAUUGUGAUCUAUCACUACAAACUACUUUCAUGCAUGUGGCCGGCUUCUUAGAUGGAUGCUGUAAGCUGCUACAAAUUAUUGAUAAACUGUAGGGAUGAUUUGAAUAAAUACUUGAAUAAACCAGUAUCCGGUUAAGCGAUGAGUUGGUUGUUGAACCUGCCUCUCCUGUUUUCCCUACUCCUCCUCUUCAAGUUCCUUAAGAGAUGUUAGGGUUGCUUAGAUUUUGUUAGAAGUUUGAAUUAUUCUAAGUUGUUUUUAUUUCCAAGCUUUAGGGGAUUUUCUUGGCCAUCAGUUGCUGAGUUUUAGAAGCUGUAAUAAAUUAAGCAUGAUUUAAUCAGAGAAAAUCUCAGUUGCACUAUGCUUCCAUGAUUUGCCAAUAGGAUAUGUACUUGGUCUUGGUGAAUGACGAAAGUACUAGAAUCUGGUUUACUUUGAUAUAAAUUGUCAGAAAAAGCAUAAAGAACCAUAAGUGGCUCCUAGUUUGUGCCCUUGUUUUGUAGUGUGCAACAUUUUCUACUAUAGAUUAAUAUUUAUUUGUUUCUUUGAGAUUUAUAUUAAAACACAUAAAAGAUGGAGGUUGGAUGAAGUACUUUUUUGAUUUAUUGUGAGACUUUAAUUUUGUUCUGGGGAUUAUUGUGCUGUUAUGGAAUUCAUGUAACUAGGUCCAGUUGUAAGCUUUGGACCCACUAUUCGUGGGUUCAACAGAUGUAGCUUGGGUUGCGUUAUGUGCUUCUGUGUUGGUCCAUCUCCAGUGUUGGUACAUGGAUGUGAGUUGUGAUCUGGUGGUCCAUUUUAAUAUUGCAAGUGGUUCAUUUUGAGUCAUUGUGAUCUAUCACUGCAAACUACUUUCAUGCAUGUGGCCGGCUUCUUAGAUGGAUGCUGUAACCUGCUACAAAU
rnacentral:lncRNA from 1 species